CGUGCAUCUGAAAUUUUCGAAUCUACUCUCUGUUCUCACGGCCGAUAUCAGAUUAGGUUGGAGAUUGCCUGAUUGUGUGACCUUGACGCAAGGUACAUUUCCUAAACUAUUAUGCAAGGAUAUUAUAUACAUAUAUAUUUAAAUUAGCUAUUGAAUUCCGUUUGUCGAUGAUGAUUAUAAGUUAUAAUUAAGGUUAUGAGAAGAUUCAGUGAGGCUCAGCGUAUUUAAAGCGGUGCUA